UCGAUUUAAAUCUGUGUUUCAUCACAAUUCGUAAUUGGCAUCUCACUUCAAUUCAUCAUAUUAGAACAUCCAAACUAUAUAUAUUCAUAUAAAAAAUGUUUACGGAUUUGUAUGCGAAUGUUCAUAUUGGGCCAUGGAGUAUAGUAGUACUCCAUAAGGAAAUUGAGCCCAAAUAAUUGCGCGUGACUCAUCAGAUUUAUGUAGUAGGAUUAGUUGUUACUAUUCUCUUUUCCCAAAAUUAGUAGAAACUCAAUUUACAAAAACUCAAUAAAAUCAAAUCGACGAUCUGGAAUAUUCGAAUUAGCAGAAUGCAAUCGAAAGUCAGCGUUGUUCUCUCCUUCCUCCUCUUCCUCUUCCUCUUUGACGCUGCCGCCGGCGUUCCAACAGCGUACGAAGCAAUCCAAGCCUACGGUUUCCCAAUCGGUAUACUCCCAAUAGGGGUAACACACUAUGAUCUGGACGAGACCACCGGCAAAUUCAACGCCUAUAUGAACGCUUCUUGCAGUUUCUCUUUGGAAGGGUCGUAUCAGCUCAAGUACAGCUCUGUGAUCAGCGGUUACAUACGUCAAAAUAAGUUGACUGAUUUAUCUGGUGUUAAAGUCAAAGUGCUGUUUAUCUGGUUGAGUAUUGUGGAGGUCACCAGAAACGCCGACAACCUCCAAUUUUCCGUUGGAAUUGCAUCUGCUGAUUUUGGGAUUCAUAAUUUCUUUAUAUGCCCGCAAUGUGGCUGUGGAUUGGAUUGCAAUGCUUUGGAUGGGGAAAACCUUCCUCUUGUUUCUUCGAUUUAAACCGAGGUUUCUAUUGGAAAAAUAUCCUCUGAUUCGACGUUGGCAUCUCCGUCAUGUUUCGGUCCUGUAUUUCAUUUUGUUUACUAAGUAAAUGAAAUAUGAGAUUGGAGCAUAUAAGUGGAUCAAAAAUUUAAUGCGUUGCCUCUCCGGACACUUUAUUUAAUGUGAUGGUGUUUGGAUCAGUCCAAUGAAAAAUCAGGAUUUCUCUUCAUUUUAUUGCAAAAUCAUACAAACUCUCACAUGGUAUGUAUCAUUUUUAUUAUUUGCGUGUACCGAACAAUUGUAACAUUGUGUAUUUGAUUUCCUCUUUACGUCUAUAAAAUUGAAUUGAUGUGUUAUAACUGUGA